rnacentral:lncRNA from 1 species
CAUGCUUGUGUGACCCAGCUGCCUGCUGCCCUGGGCACUUGGCUGAAGGUGGUAGAAACACUCAGCUAACCCAAAGUGACAUAUGCCUGGUGGGACAUCCAGGAUACACAAA